rnacentral:rRNA from 1 species
AGGGUGCAAGCGUUAAUCGGAAUUACUGGGCGUAAAGCGAGCGUAGGUGGCUUGAUAAGUCAGAUGUGAAAUCCCCGGGCUUAACCUGGGAACUGCAUCUGAAACUGUUAGGCUAGAGUAGGUGAGAGGGAAGUAGAAUUCCAGGUGUAGCGGUGAAAUGCGUAGAGAUCUGGAGGAAUACCGAUGGCGAAGGCAGCUUCCUGGCAUCAUACUGACACUGAGGCUCGAAAGCGUGGGUAGCAAACAGGAUUAGAUACCCUGGUAGUCCACGCCGUAA